AGGAUUUUAGUUUAAUUUAAAACAUUUGAUUUGCAAUCAAAAAUUAUUGUUAUUUCAAUUUAUCUUA
rnacentral:tRNA from 1 species